CGCACGGGUGCGUAACACGUAUGCAAUUUGCCCAUAACUGGGGGAUAGCCCUCCGAAAGGAGGAUUAAUACCCCAUAACCCAACGAGGUGGCAUCACUUUUUUGGUAAAUCUCCGGAGGUUAUGGGUGAGCAUGCGUCCGAUUAGCUAGUUGGUGAGGUAACGGCUCACCAAGGCAACGAUCGGUAGGGGGUCUGAGAGGACGAGCAGCCACACUGGGAUUGAGAACGGCCCAG
rnacentral:rRNA from 1 species